rnacentral:rRNA from 1 species
CCCUCCAUAAUAUGAUUGAAUGGCAUCAUUUAAUUAUUAAAACUCAGGUGGUAAAGGAUGGGCAUGCGUCUGAUUAGUUAGUUGGUGAGGUAACGGCUCACCAAGACGAUGAUCAGUAGGGGAACUGAGAGGUUGAUCCCCCACACUGGCACUGAGAUACGGGCCAGACUCCUACGGGAGGCAGCAGUAGGGAAUAUUGGACAAUGGGUGCAAGCCUGAUCCAGCCAUGCCGCGUGCAGGAAGAAGGCCUUCUGGGUUGUAAACUGCUUUUGUCAGGGGAUAAAAAGCCCAUGCGUGGGAAAUUGCAGGUACCUGAUGAAUAAGCCACGGCUAA